rnacentral:tRNA from 1 species
UAGCUUAGUUGGUAAAGAAUCUGCCUGCAAUGCAGAAGACCUUGGUUCAAUUCCUGG